UACGGGGGGGGCAAGCGUUUGUUCGGAAUUACUGGGCGUAAAGGGCGCGUAGGCGGCCUGCUAAGUCGGACGUGAAAUCCCUCGGCUCAACCGGGGAACUGCGUCCGAUACUGGCGAGGCUUGAAUCCGGGAGAGGGAUGUGGAAUUCCAGGUGUAGCGGUGAAAUGCGUAGAUAUCUGGAGGAACACCGGUGGCGAAGGCGGCUCUCUGGGACGGUACUGACGCUGAGACGCGAAAGCGUGGGGAGCGAACAGG
rnacentral:rRNA from 1 species